rnacentral:rRNA from 1 species
GAUUUCUGGCUUGAUACAUUUUGCCGGCCACGGUUUCGUGUGUUAGUGCUUGAUGUUCUGGCCAUCCUUCCAAUCGCUAUUCACCUUUCUUCAUUGAUUGGUGAGUGGUACUGGAUCUUUUACUUUGAAAAAAUUAGAGUGUUUCAAGCAGGCUUUAUGCUAUGAAUACAUUAGCAUGGAAUAAUAAUUUAGGACUUCGGUUCUAUUUUGUUGGUUUCUAGGACUGAAGUAAUGAUUGAUAGGGAUAGUUGGGGGUGCUAGUAUUCAGCGGCCAGAGGUGAAAUUCUCGGAUUCGCUGAAGACUAACUUAUGCGAAAGCAUU